CAGGGAGACAACAAAAUGUUUAAUAUUAUUAUUUUGUCACCUUAGGUCGAUCGGUAUCUCACGUUUUUAAUUUAUUAAGAAUUUCAUUUCCUAAGUUUUUCUAGGUCACACCCAUUAUUUUUCCUGGGCCAUUAGCUCAGGUGGUUAGAGCGCACCCCUGAUAAGGGUGAGGUCCCUGGUUCAAGUCCAGGAUGGCCCAUAUCUCUAUGUUGGGGGUAUAGCUCAGUUGGUAGAGCGCCUGCUUUGCAGGCAGGAUGUCAGCGGUUCGAGUCCGCUUACCUCCACUGAUCACCACCUCUUCCAUAACCGGUAGAAAGGAAAUUUUUUGAGUUGUGAUCAAAUUCUGAAAGAAUCUAGCUUCCUAAUGAAAUCAUUAAGAUGCUGGACUCAUUGAAUUAAUUUCAUUGUUUUCAGAGAACCUUGACAACUGCAUAGAUUAUUUUUAAAGACAAUAAGCAUCUUUAAUGAUGCAGAUUUAUUAUUUGUGCAAAUGCAUUAAUAACAAUUCUAUUAAGCUGAUGCUUCAAUAUUUGAAGUUAUU
rnacentral:tRNA from 1 species